UUUUCCUCCCCUCGCGCGCCGCUCGUCUCUGUCCCGCAGCGGGGAGUUCGGGCUGCGCCGGCCGCCGGCGACGGCGACGAACCACCGCGCCGGCCAGCGUCUUUCCCCUGCCCCUCUGCUCCGCUCCAGAUCCUUCCCUUUCCCCUUCUUUCUUCCGCGCCCACCGACGUGCUACCGCGCCGCGGGAGUAGUUUCCUCCUCUCAUCGCUCGCUCUGUCCCGCGGCGGAUCGACUUCUGUGCCGGCGAGCCGGCGACGGCGUCGGACGCGACCGCGCUGCGCCACUCUUUCCCCUUCCCCUUUCUUUUCUCCAGUCCGCCGAGCCACGAAGAGUGAGAGAGCGCGAGCCGAGCCCACCUCUGCUCCCCCUUGGACGACGACGGCGGAGCAUGCGCCGUUGCCUUCCCCUUCGCCGGCCGCGCGUUCGCCUCGCGGUGAGCGCGUUGCCGUCGUACGGAUUGGCCGCGGUGCUCUUUGCCCCUUUCGGGGUAGGUUCUUCGUCCGACGCCUCGGCUUGCCGAUGCGCGGCCGGAUCGAGAGGAAUAGGCGCGGCCAUGACGGCGGCGCUCUUUGCCGGCGGGCCCAAGGCCCUCUCCGGUGAACUUUUUGUUUGCUUUUCUCUGCCCUGAUAGGGUUCUUUGGGGAGGAAAAACUAUCGCUUUGAUUUCUUUCUACCGAAAACAACUAGCCCGAUCUGGCUGAUACCAUUGAUAGAACUUUGGAUCGGAGUAGGCUAGUAGAUCCGGUGAACCUACCUUGUCCAGCAGCGGAUGAACUCGAGCCGGAGGCCAUCGUGAUGCUAGGGCACACGGCGAUGGCAGAGAGUAGGCGACGGUGAUGGAGCUUCCCGUGAGCACCGCGCUAACCCUAAAUCGGUAGGGAUUGUAGGUGGGGAUUGUGACAGCGAUUAACCUCGUGAAUAGUGCCCCGGCCCCCACCUCUGUUUAUAUAGCGCGGGUCACAGGGGCCCACCAACCAUGGUUUGGUUGGGCGCCCCCAAUCAGGGGGCGAGUCAGGGGCCCGUUCGACCCGUUGGGCUCGAACGGGAGAGAGAUCAACCUAACACAGAUAACUCUCGAUCUUCAGUAUGGCGCCUCAAGUUCUGGAACGUAACCCCGCAUCCAAAACGACAUGAUCGCUCGCAUUUAUUUCGCAUGAUCUUUCAAUUCCAGGCCAACGCCUAUAGGUCGCAUGAUCUCCCCCUUCAAAUCUUGGUCGACGUAGAGGGGUUGGGAGGAGGAGGAUACACAGGGAGCGGCAGCGGGCAGGCAAACGGGAGGGCCGCAUCUCGGAGCUCCCCGACGCGUAGCGCCGUAGAUUCUGAGCCUGCUGCUGCUCAAGUCAGCCAUCCACGCCGGCGCACUGUCCUUACGGUGGUGCGACCUCCUCCUCACUCCGCUACAGAUUCCCGUCGGGCGUGUAGGGGACGGUGGAGACGGAGGACCAGUUUGCAGCCAUCCUCUCGGUGAUGCGGUGCUGGAUGGUAUGCACUUCGAUACAGAGGGCGAGGCAGGUUGCGGGAGGCAAGACGUACAUGCUCACCGUGGCUCUGCAAUGCCCGUUCCCCAAACGUGUCCCUCUCUGUGCUUGGCAUGGGUUGUGGGUAUAGUAACAGUUCUACAACAUCCUGCCAUGGCAAUCCGCAUCUGGAGAUGUGAGCACAACAGUGGACGGUGCCUUGCCGUCAGGGACCGUUUACCCAGGCCUGCCGGCCAAGUUGGAUGUGCUACGGACAGUGGGUUCGUCGAAGCGAAAACUUUCCUGUAGCAGGUGCUGCAGAGCUGCCGGUGGAAGGCGUGGACAAUUAAGACGGGGUCAUGUGUGGAGCCGCUUCAACGACAUGGACUUUGGCAUUAGUGUGAAGUUGCAGCGCAACUAGCAAAACUGGAACAGAACAUACAGGCAACCCGAUCAAGGUUCUGGCAAAAGCCCUCUACGUGCGUGUCUUUGCAAUUCAUAUCACCGAAGCGCAACUGGAGAUGUGACUGAUGGAGGAGCGCCUGCUACAACUUGUGCUAGAAUGCUAUUCCUUUGUUGAUGUUUUUUGAGAUAGCUACCCACUUAUUUCAAGUGGUAUUCCUUUGUUUGAUAGAGAUGAGAGGCAAGGAAAGAGACACGGGUGAGAGUGCAAGAGAGAAUGUAUGGUUUUAUUUCUUACGUGUCUAGUGUACAAUGUACAGAUAUAACUCACGAUAGUGCAGCCGUUUGAUAGAUAUAUAUACAACAUGACCG
rnacentral:rRNA from 1 species